rnacentral:rRNA from 1 species
UACGGGGGGAGCAAGCGUUGUUCGGAUUUACUGGCGUAAAGGGCGCGUAGGCGGUCAGCACAAGUCAGUUGUGAAAUCUCCGGGCUUAACUCGGAAAGGUCAACUGAUACUGUGCGACUAGAGUGCGGAAGGGGCAACUGGAAUUCUCGGUGUAGCGGUGAAAUGCGUAGAUAUCGAGAGGAACACCUGCGGCGAAGGCGGGUUGCUGGGCCGACACUGACGCUAAUGCGCGAAAGCCAGGGGAGCGAACGGG